GGCCCCGUGGUGUAGUGGUUAGCACGCCAGGUUUUCAACCUGGUAGGGCGAGUUCGAGUCUCGUCGGGGCUA
rnacentral:tRNA from 1 species